UGGGGAGUAUUGCGCAAUGGACGAAAGUCUGACGCAGCAACGCCGCGUGAGUGAAGAAGGCCUUCGGGUUGUAAAGCUCUUUGGAGAGGGACGAAAAUGCUUUGGGUUAACAGCCCAAGGAACUGACGGUACCUCUAUAACAAGCACCGGCUAACUCUGUGCCAGCAGCCGCGGUAAUACAGAGGGUGCAAGCGUUGUUCGGAAUUACUGGGCGUAAAGGGGAGGUAGGUUGUCUCGUGCGUCUGGGGUGAAAGCCCUGAGCUUAACUCAGGAAGUGCCUUGGAUACGACGAGACUAGAGUACUGGAGAGGGUGGUAGAAUUCCCGGUGUAGCGGUGAAAUGCGUAGAGAUCGGGAGGAAUACCAGAGGCGAAGGCGGCCACCUGGACAGUUACUGACAC
rnacentral:rRNA from 1 species